ensembl:snRNA U1 U1 spliceosomal RNA
AUGCUUACCUUGCAGGAGAGGUACCGUGAUCACAAAGGUGGUUUUCCCAGGGCUAGACUCAGCCACUGCACUCUGGAUACGCUGACUCCUGAGAUUUCUCCAAAUGCAGGAAACUCAACUGCAUAAUUUGUGGUAGUGGGGGACUGCAUUCAUACUCUCCUCUG